rnacentral:rRNA from 1 species
AGGUAGUAAUAUUUAAACAAACCUAUCUAUUCUGGCGGCUUUUCAUCUAAUUAGAGGAACUUGUUAAAUAAUUGAUAAACCCCAAUAAUUUUCACUUUAAUUAAUAAAUUUAUAUAUCGCCAUCUAAAGAAUUUAUACACUAAUAUUUUCAUAAUAAAAAAUAAAAAGUUAGGUCAAGGUGUAAUCCAUAUUAAAGAUUUAAAAUGAGUUACAAUAAAAAUUAAUGCAAGAUUUUUAUAUUAAAAUAUAUAAUGAAUAAGGAUUUAUAAGUAAAAAUAUAAUAAUAUUUCUAUUUGAAAAAGAUAACAAAAGUGU